rnacentral:rRNA from 1 species
GAAUAUUGCACAAUGGAGGAAACUCUGAUGCAGUAACGCCGCGUGCGGGACGAAGACCUUCGGGUUGUAAACCGCUUUUUGUAGAGACGAGUGAGGACGGUAUCUAUAGAAUAAGUCUCGGCUAACUACGUGCCAGCAGCCGCGGUAAGACGUAGGAGGCGAGCGUUAUCCGGAUUCACUGGGCGUAAAGCGCAUGUAGGCGGUUGGUCAAGUCAUGUGUUAAAGCCCCCGGCUCAACUGGGGGAGGUCAUGUGAGACUGAUUGACUUGAGGGCAGCAGAGGCACGUGGAACUCCCGGUGUAGCGGUGGAAUGCGUAGAGAUCGGGAAGAACACCCGUGGCGAAGGCGACGUGCUGGGCUGCACCUGACGCUGAGAUGCGAAAGUGUGGGGAGCAAACGG